GAUGAAGAACGCAGCGAAAUGCGAUAAGUAAUGUGAAUUGCAGAAUUCAGUGAAUCAUCGAAUCUUUGAACGCACAUUGCGCCCGCCAGUAUUCUGGCGGGCAUGCCUGUUCGAGCGUCAUUUCAACCAUCAAGCCCCCGGCUUGUGUUGGGGACCUGCGGCUGCCGCAGGCCCUGAAAAGCGGUGGCGGGCUCGCUGUCACACCGAGCGUAGUAGCAUACAUCUCGCUCUGGGCGUGCUGCGGGUUCCGGCCGUUAAACCACCUUCAUAACCCAAGGUUGACCUCGGAUCAGGUAGGAAGACCCGCUGAACUUAAGCAUAUCAAUAAGCGGAGGA
rnacentral:misc_RNA from 1 species